AGUGAACGCUGGCGGUAGGCCUAACACAUGCAAGUCGAACGGCAGCACAGUAAGAGCUUGCUCUUACGGGUGGCGAGUGGCGGACGGGUGAGGAAUACAUCUGAAUCUACUUUUUCGUGGGGGAUAACGUAGGGAAACUUACGCUAAUACCGCAUACGACCUACGGGUGAAAGCAGGGGAUCUUCGGACCUUGCGCGAUUGAAUGAGCCGAUGUCGGAUUAGCUAGUUGGCGGGGUAAAGGCCCACCAAGGCGACGAUCCGUAGCUGGUCUGAGAGGAUGAUCGGCCACACUGGAACUGAGACACGGUCCAGACUCCUACGGGAGGCAGCAGUGGGGAAUAUUGGACAAUGGGCGCAAGCCUGAUCCAGCCAUACCGCGUGGGUGAAGAAGGCCUUCGGGUUGUAAAGCCCUUUUGUUGGGAAAGAAAAGCAGCAGGUUAAUACCCCGCUGUUCUGACGGUACCCAAAGAAUAAGCACCGGCUAACUUCGUG
rnacentral:rRNA from 1 species